UACGUAGGGUCCGAGCGUUGUCCGGAAUUACUGGGCGUAAAGAGCUCGUAGGUGGUUUGUCGCGUUGUUCGUGAAAACUCACAGCUUAACUGUGGGCGUGCGGGCGAUACGGGCAGACUUGAGUACUGCAGGGGAGACUGGAAUUCCUGGUGUAGCGGUGGAAUGCGCAGAUAUCAGGAGGAACACCGGUGGCGAAGGCGGGUCUCUGGGCAGUAACUGACGCUGGAGGAGCGGAAAGCCGUGGGGAGCGAACAGG
rnacentral:rRNA from 1 species